AAAGAUCGCAGCCUUCGGCAGCUCCUACAGGGGAUCGCAUUUUCAAACUGUAGGAGCUGCCGAAGGCUGCGAUCUUU
rnacentral:antisense_RNA from 1 species